GGGUGAGGAGAUACCAUCUCCAAAUACUACUUCAAAGGAUAUCCACUUGGUUGUUGUGGUGCCACGCACUGAGCUCCCUACAAGCAAGCCACCACUGGAUUCCACAGCCAGAAGACAAAUGGGAACUGUAAGAGCGACACAGACUGACAUGCUGACAGAGUUCAAGGUUCUAG
rnacentral:lncRNA from 1 species